GACGAACGCUGGCGGCGUGCUUAACACAUGCAAGUCGAACGGGCCUUGUCCCCUUUUUUUUGGGGGUGGGGUUAGUGGCGAACGGGUGAGUAACACGUGAGUAACCUGCCCCUCACUUCUGGAUAACCGCUUGAAAGGGUGGCUAAUACGGGGUGUUCUGGCCUGCUCGCAUGGGUGGGUUUGGAAAGAUUCGACCGGUUUUGGUUGUUUUGGUGGGGGAUGGGCUCGCGGCCUAUCAGCUUGUUGGUGGGGUGAUGGCCUGCCAAGGCUUUGACGGGUAGCCGGCCUGAGAGGGUGGGCGGUCACACUGGGACUGAGACACGGCCCAGACUCCUACGGGAGGCAGCAGUGGGGAAUAGUGCACAAUGGGCGCAAGCCUGAUGCAGCGACGCCGCGUGAGGGAUGGAGGCCUUCGGGUUGUGAACCUCUUUCGCCAGUGAAGAAGGUCCUGCUCUUUGUGGUGGGGUUGACGGUAGCUGGGUUAAUGAAGCGCCGGCUAACUACGUG
rnacentral:rRNA from 1 species